AGAGUUUGAUCAUGGCUCAGGACGAACGCUGGCGGCGUGCCUAACACAUGCAAGUCGAACGGAUUCAGAUGUUAGACAGUAGAUAUUGAGAGAGUUUAAGAUUUAAUAUCUAAUGUCUAAUAUCUGGAUUAGUGGCGGACGGGUGAGUAACGCGUGAGCAACCUGCCUUACAGAGGGGGAUAACAUUCGGAAACGGAUGCUAAUACCGCAUAACAUAUAUAUACGGCAUCGUAUAAAUAUCAAAGGAGCAAUCCGCUGUAAGAUGGGCUCGCGUCCGAUUAGAUAGUUGGUGAGGUAACGGCUCACCAAGUCAACGAUCGGUAGCCGGACUGAGAGGUUGACCGGCCACAUUGGGACUGAGACACGGCCCAGACUCCUACGGGAGGCAGCAGUGGGGAAUAUUGCACAAUGGGCGAAAGCCUGAUGCAGCAACGCCGCGUGAGGGAAGACGGUCUUCGGAUUGUAAACCUUUAACUUUGGAGAAGAAAGCAAUGACGGUAUCCAAAGGAGCAGCCACGGCUAACUACGUGCCAGCAGCCGCGGUAAUACGUAGGUGGCAAGCGUUGUCCGGAAUUACUGGGUGUAAAGGGAGCGCAGGCGGGAAGGCAAGUCGGCUGUGAAAUGCACAGGCUUAACCUGUGAAUUGCAGUAGAAACUGUUUUUCUUGAGUGGAGUAGAGGCAGGCGGAAUUCCGAGUGUAGCGGUGAAAUGCGUAGAUAUUCGGAGGAACACCAGUGGCGAAGGCGGCCUGCUGGGCUCUAACUGACGCUGAGGCUCGAAAGUGUGGGGAGCAAACAGGAUUAGAUAC
rnacentral:rRNA from 1 species